rnacentral:tRNA from 1 species
GACUCUGUAGCUCAGUUGGUUAGAGCGCUGCACCGGAAUCGCAGGGCCGCAGGUUCAAUUCCUGCCAAGGACC